rnacentral:rRNA from 1 species
UAUAGGUAACCGUCAUUAUCUUCCCUAUAAAGCUUAAACACAUGCAAAGUCGAAACGGACAAAUUAUCUAUAGCCUCGGUUAUAAGUAAUUGUUAGUGGCAGACGGGUGAGUAAUGCGUAGGAAUCUACCUAGUAGUAUGGAAUAGCCAUUAGAAAUGAUGGGUAAUACUGUAUAAUCCCUGCGGGGGAAAGAUUUAUCGCUAUUAGAUGAGCCUACGUUAGAUUAGCUAGUUGGUAAGGUAAUGGCUUACCAAGGCUAUGAUCUAUAGCUGGUCUGAGAGGACGAUCAGCCACACUGGAACUGAGAUACGGUCCAGACUCCUACGGGAGGCAGCAGUGGGGAAUAUUGGACAAUGGGCGAAAGCUUGAUCCAGCUAUGCCGCGUGAGUGAAGUAUAGGUACCGUCAUUUCCACGUU